rnacentral:rRNA from 1 species
GAUGAACGCUGGCGGCGUGCCUAAUACAUGCAAGUCGAGCGAACAGAUGAGAAGCUUGCUUCUCUGAUGUUAGCGGCGGACGGGUGAGUAACACGUGGGUAACCUACCUAUAAGACUGGGAUAACUCCGGGAAACCGGGGCUAAUACCGGAUAAUAUUUUGAACCGCAUGGUUCAAUAGUGAAAGACGGUUUCGGCUGUCACUUAUAGAUGGACCCGCGCCGUAUUAGCUAGUUGGUAAGGUAACGGCUUACCAAGGCGGCGAUACGUAGCCGACCUGAGAGGGUGAUCGGCCACACUGGAACUGAGACACGGUCCAGACUCCUACGGGAGGCAGCAGUAGGGAAUCUUCCGCAAUGGGCGAAAGCCUGACGGAGCAACGCCGCGUGAGUGAUGAAGGUCUUCGGAUCGUAAAACUCUGUUGUUAGGGAAGAACAAAUUUGUUAGUAACUGAACGAGUCUUGACGGUACCUAACCAGAAAGCCACGGCUAACUACGUGCCAGCCGCCGCAGUAA